rnacentral:rRNA from 1 species
UACAGAGGUCUCAAGCGUUGUUCGGAUUCAUUGGGCGUAAAGGGUGCGUAGGCGGCGCGGUAAGUCGGGUGUGAAAUCUCGGAGCUUAACUCCGAAACUGCAUUCGAUACUGGCGUGCUUGAGGACUGGAGAGGAGACUGGAAUUCAUGGUGUAGCAGUGAAAUGCGUAGAGAUCAUGAGGAAGACCAGUGGCGAAGGCGGGUCUCUGGACAGUUCCUGACACUGAGACACGAAGGCCAGGGAGCAAACGGG